AAGGUUGUUCUAACAAGUCUGAUGCAGUCAUGAUAUAACAGGAAUGUUACAAGGUUGAUGACACAAGGUUGUAACAAUAUUGUCAUAUCAUGACUGUAUCAGACUUGUUGGAACAACCUU
rnacentral:miRNA from 1 species